UGACUGUAUUGAAAUGACAUUUCUUUGGCUAUCAUAAUUUAGCAUUUAUUAUGUAGCAUUUUAUAGCUUCUGAGUUUGUAAUAUAUAUAUAGUCAGUAUAAUGUAACAUGUUCACUGAACUGACUUAUAUUUAUAGCGACUCUUUAAUAAUAAUAAUUAAUCCACUUUUUUGUAACAAAAUACAUUAAAUGCCAAACCUAAAGUAACAUCCUUCAAGGUCAACGGUAAACAAAUAAAUAUGUUCAAAGCGGCGCAGUAGGGAGCAUUGUUUCUAACAAACACAUCUCUUGUUCCAUACUAAAUUAACUUUGAAUUAACUGUUUUUGUUUUUUUUGUUACAGAUACAUCAAAUCUAGGCAUAAUUGCAACAUGUUAUUAUUAUUAAUAAGCAUAAGCGUAUGUGCCUAAGUGUUUUACAAAGUUAUAUGUUUGAAUUAAUUUUUGCGGUUUAUUUUUGCAGCUUCUUCAUAUGCGUUACAAAGCAGUGAGAGUGCCACAACAGCCAGCAGAGAAGAACAUAUGAGUGUACCAGUCAUGAAAGUAGAGGCAUGAAGUGGAAAGAAUCGCUCACAAAGAAGACCGACAAGAGAUCACAAGGAGAUACCUUAACAAAACUUACAGAGAAACCGAUGGAAAAAGACUAAGAAAAAAUAGAAUAAAAAAAAAAAAGUUGACUGUAGAAAUUGAAAUAAUACAUUUGGAGAAAAAGAUGUGUUUAGUGUCAAUACGUGACCAAGUGCUAUAACUCUGACAUGUUAUAUACUAGUAGUAGAUUUAUUCCCCUUUUUGUAAUUAAAAGGAUCUUAUUAUUUUUUUGUGCAACUACUUCAAAACUCUAUUAUUUCUGAAAUAGAAAGUCUAUAUUAGAAAUAAUAGAGUUAUGGAGCAGUUGCACACAAAAUAAUAAGUUUUUUUUUAAUCAAAAAGGGGCAUUCUCAUAUUUCUAUGAUAAAAAUAUGAUUAUGUCCCUUUUUGUACUUAUAAAAUUCCAGUCAAUAUUUGUGUGCUUGAAGAAAUGUAGGUCAAAUAUUACAUUGGUCAUUGUAUUAUGUUACUGACAGAUAAAAUACAUUCUACAUUCAAAGAGGAAUAUUAGUUGAAUGCGGUGUCUUGGGACACUUCUUGAUAUUAUUUGCUUACAAGAUAUACAUCAUUAAUAAUAAUAAAAUUCUUCAUUCAAUGAACUGAAUGAAAUUCCAGAAUAAUGAUAGAUACAGUUCUGUGAAUUUGAAAUUAGACAUCAACAAAUCCUGGCAUCAUACUUUCGCCCUGGCCAACUGGCAGUGAACUUGAGUGAAGCUCGUUAUUCAGUAGCUGGCGUCAUACACAGCCUGUUAACAUAAAACAUGUUAUAUUACACUAACAAAAUAAGACAUAUUUUUGUACAUUUUUUCUUAGGUAUUUGAUAAAAUGCUGAUGAUAUGUUUCUUAUAUUGCUAAUGGCAAACUGUUAAAAUUAACAUACAGUUGUUUCAUUAAAUAUUUGUGUUUAAAAUAAAGUAUCAAAGAAAAGCGA